rnacentral:rRNA from 1 species
CUAAGAAUAUUCCGCAAUGGACGAAAGUCUGACGGAGCGACGCCACGUGAAUGAUGAAGGCCUUCGGGUUGUAAAAUUCUGUUAUAAGGGAAGAAUGGCUCUAGUAGGAAAUGGCUAGAGUGGGACGGUACCUUAUGAGAAAGCCACGGCUAACUACGUGCCAGCAGCCGCGGUAAUACGUAGGUGGCGAGCGUUAUCCGGAAUUAUUGGGCGUAAAGAGCGCGCAGGUGGUUGAUUAAGUCUGAUGUGAAAGCCCACGGCUUAAACGUGGAGGGUCAUUGGAAACCCGUCAACUUGAGUGCAGAAGAGGGAAGUGGAAUUCCAUGUGUAGCGGUGAAAUGCGUAGAGAUAUGGAGGAACACCAGUGGCGAAGGCGGCUUCCUGGUCUGUAACUGACACUGAGGCGCGAAAGCGUGGGGAGCAAACA